UACGGAGGAGCUAGCGUUGUUCGGAAUUACUGGGCGUAAAGCGCGCGUUAGGCGGCUUUGUAAGUUAGAGGGUGAAAGCCCCGGGGCUCAACCUCGGAACUGCCUUUGAUACUGCAAAUCUCGAGUCCGGAAAAGGUGAGUGGAAUUCCUAGUGUAGAGGUGAAAUUCGUAGAUAUUAGGAAGAACACCAGUGGCGGAAGGCGGCUCACUGGUCCGGUACUGACACUGAGGCGCGGAAAGCGUGGGGAGCGAACAGG
rnacentral:rRNA from 1 species